AUUGAACGCUGGCGGCAGGCCUAACACAUGCAAGUCGAACGGUAACACGAAGCAGCUUGCUGCUUCGCUGACGAGUGGCGGACGGGUGAGUAAUGUCUGGGAAGCUGCCUGAUGGAGGGGGAUAACUACUGGAAACGGUAGCUAAUACCGCAUAAUGUCUCAAGACCAAAGAGGGGGACCUUCGGGCCUCUUGCCAUCGGAUGUGCCCAGAUGGGAUUAGCUUGUUGGUGGGGUAACGGCUCACCAAGGCGACGAUCCCUAGCUGAUCUGAGAGGAUGACCAGCCACACUGGAACUGAGACACGGUCCAGACUCCUACGGGAGGCAGCAGUGGGGAAUAUUGCACAAGGGGCGAAAGCCUGAUGCAGCAAUGCCGCGUGAAUGAAGAAGGCCUUCGGGUUGUAAAGAACUUUCAGCGGGGAGGAAGGGAGUAAAGUUAAAACCUGUGCUCAUUGACGUUACCCGAAGAAGAAGCACCGGCUAACUACGUG
rnacentral:rRNA from 1 species